rnacentral:lncRNA from 1 species
CGUCUGUUGAAUCUCUUUUGCCUUGGUGUGCGAGACAACGGAGGGGCAACUUAGCCUUCUUCUCCCUUGCGGAUCUAUUAAAACUAGCGAUUCUGAUAAACAUUAUUAUAGAAAUUGGGGCUAAUUCAAUAGAAAUCGGUCGUACCUAGCCUCGAUUCACGUCGCAAACAUUGUCCAAUGAUUCAUGAAAACAUGCAAAGAGCAGAUUUGGCGCAUGUGAUCUUUC